rnacentral:rRNA from 1 species
AACGAACGCUGGCGGCGCGCCUAACACAUGCAAGUCGAGCGUGAAAGUGUAGCAAUACAUGAGUAAAGCGGCGCACGGGUGAGUAACGCGUAGGUGAUCUACCUUUGUGACCGGGAUAACCAGCCGAAAGGUUGGCUAAUACUGGAUAGAGCGCAUGACCUGUAAGGGGUCGUGCGGGAAAGGGUGGCCGUAGCAAUACGGCUACUGCACUGGGAUGAGCCNGCGUCUCAUUAGCUAGUUGGUAGGGUAAUGGCCUACCAAGGCUUUGAUGGGUAGCUGGUCUGAGAGGACGAUCAGCCACACUGGAACUGAAACACGGUCCAGACUCCUACGGGAGGCAGCAGUGGGGAAUCUUGCACAAUGGACGAAAGUCUGACGCAGCGACGCCGCGUGGGUGAAGAAGGCCUCGG